rnacentral:lncRNA from 1 species
AACAGCGUGCGGCCAGACCAGAGCACAGGCCCACAGACCCACAGGAGCCAUGCUCAGUGUCCCUCCCUCAGUGUCAGCCCACAGAGGCUGGUGGCCAUGGAAGCAGGAUACCUCCAUGGCAUUCCCGUGUCCAUGGGGGGACCUGGGCCACAUGUCCCCUCCACGUCCUGUCUCUCCACAGCACUCCCAUAUCAAUGCAGGGACCUGGGCCACGUGUCCCUUCCAGGUCCUGUCCUGUCCGUGUCCUGUGCUCCUGCCUUUGGGGCUGUAACUUUCAAUUUCUUGGCCCAGUUCCAGGCUUGUCAACAGCCUCUGGCAGUCAGGAAUUGGACAUUCUCAGAAGAGUAUCAGGCAUGGUGCCCAUUGGUUCUGUGCAGUUAUGUUGUGCCAACUGUUUGCUUUUCCCUCCAUUUAGGCUCAUUCUUGUGUAAAAGAUUCCCAAUUGCACAAGAACCUGGCUGGUCUUUAGGGCUGGGUAACUGGGA